rnacentral:rRNA from 1 species
AUUGAACGCUGGCGGCAUGCCUUACACAUGCAAGUCGAACGGCAGCACGGGAGCAAUCCUGGUGGCGAGUGGCGAACGGGUGAGUAAUAUAUCGGAACGUGCCCAGUCGUGGGGGAUAACGUAGCGAAAGCUACGCUAAUACCGCAUACGAUCUACGGAUGAAAGCGGGGGAUCGCAAGACCUCGCGCGAUUGGAGCGGCCGAUAUCAGAUUAGGUAGUUGGUGAGGUAAAGGCUCACCAAGCCGACGAUCUGUAGCUGGUCUGAGAGGACGACCAGCCACACUGGGACUGAGACACGGCCCAGACUCCUACGGGAGGCAGCAGUGGGGAAUUUUUGGGACAAUGGGCGCAAGCCUGAUCCAGCAAUGCCGCGUGCAGGAUGAAGGCCUGGUUGUAACUAG